CCUACGGGAGGCAGCAGUGAGGAAUAUUGGUCAAUGGGCGGGAGCCUGAACCAGCCAAGCCGCGUGAGGGAAGAAGGUACAGCGUAUCGUAAACCUCUUUUGUCAGGGAACAAAGGCGGGGACUAGUCCUCGGAUGCGGGGACCUGAAGAAAAAGGAUCGGCUCACGCCGGGCCAGCAGCCGCGGUAAUACGUAGGUGGCAAGCGUUAUCCGGAUUUACGGGGGGGAAAGGGCGUGUAGGGGGGAGUGCAAGGCAGAUGGGAAAACUAUGGGCUCAACCCAUAGCCUGCAGUUGAAAAUGUAGUUCUUGAGUGCUGGGGAGGCAAUCGGAAUUCCGUGUGUAGCGGUGAAA
rnacentral:rRNA from 1 species